AUGAACAGUGACAGGGAAGCUUAAGUCAAAUAAAUCCUUUCCUCCCCAAGAUGCUUUUGGUCCCGGAAUUCAUCACAGCCACAGAAACUUUGAAACAUACUGGUACCAGGAUAGUGGGGUAUGGCUGUGACAGACCUGACCGUGUGAUUUGGGGGGGACCGUGGAAGGGGUUUGUAUCUCUGGGUUGGAAGAGCCAUUGAGUGUUAAACCUCGUGGGCUGUUCUGUGGGAGCUUAGAAGGUAAGAAUGUUGGGGGCAAUGCAGACUGUGGGGGCCUGACUUCUCCAGAGGGACCUUUGAGAGCCCCUUAAAGACUAUCAGGGGCGCCUGCUAUUUUGAGUUGAGAUCCCAUGAUUCCUGUCAGCUGAAGCUGUGACGGGAACAAGGUAACAGAGCCGCUGCAGUGAAGUCUUUGCUCUUCCGGGACAGUUGAUGCUGGUCGGCUGGAGCCGAGAAAUUAGCAGUGAUUGAGAAGAGCCCAGCAUCCCCGAGGUGAAGCGUUUCCGCACGCAGGAGCUGUGUUAAAGGCAGGCAAGGUUGGACCUGGCGAGGGCAGCUCCAGGAGUCGCCUGUCAGAGUGUCCCAGGUGGUGCUGGUUUUGCAGGCACAAAGGGGUCAUGGAGAGCAGCUGAGGCUUGGCGCGGGAGAGACCAGGAGAUGCAGCUGGUGAAGGUGCAGCCUCAGUAGCAGCUGAAGCCCCAGGACUGGAGGGUCACGCCGAGUUCAGGUUACACUAGCUCGAUUGCAGCCGUGGACGCCAGCAUUUUGGAGACUCCCAACGGCCAUGGGACAAUUGCCAAUAGCAGCAGCAGCAGCAGCUAUGGAGUGAAGCCUGCCCGAGCCUAGCAGACAGGUGUGGGUGCUGCGGGAAGCCCUUUGGACCCCAAUAGCAUAUAUACAUAUGGAACAAGAUAAGGAGCUCCCAGAAACGAGAACAAUGGCAACGGAAAAGGAGAAGUCAAAAAAAUUUCAAAAAAAGUGAAAGAAAUUUCUCAGAAGGAGUGCAGACUCUGAUAGCAGACUGCUGGAAUCAAAGGCCAAACCCAUCUCAGAUGCACUAACAGGCAUCCUUAGCUUCACCAGCUUACAGACUGUGUCACCUGGCUCUAUUGGCACUGGAAUUCUGAGAUGAGUAGGAGAGACUGGAUGUAGGAAGACAGGCAGAGAACCCUUGUCCAGCUUGUAGAGAAUGGUGAGAGUUGAAGCUGAGCAGGGAGAUGGUCAUCAGGCAAGCAGGAUGCUAUGGAGCCGACUACACACUAAAG